ensembl:lncRNA
UAAACCCUUCUUGGACUGCUGAGGCUUUCUUCUGCGCCCUGGGCCCACCAGAAAAACCAGUCGGGUGACCUGAGGCUGACUUCCAUCAUCUCUCCUUCUCAGGCUCCCAAUGGCUGUGACCUUCCUGCCAUCUCCAGGUGGCUCUUCCACUUGGUAGAGAAGGGGAGGGGUCCAACCUGGCUGUCCCCUGCUCCCUCUGCUCCCACAGGCAUGGGGCAGGAAGGUCCAAGGCCGAAUGGAGAGUUUCUGGGAACCCUUCAGGGAAGAGGAUGGGAACAUGCUGGAGAAGGGAGUUGGCAAGACCACAGGAUUUAGUUUCCGCAUCCGUGAAAUGGCCCAACAGAUUGGGUGUCGGGAAGCCAGGACUCUCUUGAAGUGUUCUCUGCCCAGGCAGGCCGAGGGAUUUCCUCCUGGUCACACAGCCAGGACGUGCCUGAGAUGGGAUCUGAACCAGUGCUUCUGGCUGCAGGCCCCGGGCGCUCUGACCUGCGUCCGCACCACUUCGCUCAGCAAGCCUUCAGAUUCUCAGACAGUCCCUCGCCCACAUCCUGCCUUGGAAAGGAGCCUCUGCGAGCCUCAGAGGAAGGCAGGCCCACAGCUUUUCAAGCAGGCUGUUUUCUUGUGACUUGUUUCUGGCCUACUUCCUCUGCUCAGUGGUGAGUGAAUGGAGGCUUCCAGUCUCCCUAUUCACAGAGACGUCUCUCGUGAUGCCAGCCCAGAGCCUGGAAUGUGAAAAGCCCUAUCGGUGGGAAGCAGAUUGCUGCUUGGCCAGGGACGCGGGGCCAGGGAUGAUGUCAUUCCUUCAGCGUCCCCGGGGCCCUGGAGCAGGUCAGCCCGUAACCGAAGACAGAGCCGAAAUCACAGCCAAGGAAGGGGAGUGAAAAGAGAGAGACCAUUGAUAACCAGCCGCAGCCCCUGAGUCCGCGAUGACCCUGAGCGCUGUCCUCUGUGUGAGGGGCCCCACAGCUGAGAGCUGGGCUCCGCCCUGCUCCUGGGACGAAGCAGCCUAGGGUCAGCUUCAGCUUGAAGAAAGGCCCCGCCUGUCCCGUUCUCCAUCCCUGGGGAGCACUUAAGGCGGUACACCGCGCACCCACCCUCACCUAAUUGUUGGUCUCUCUCAUGGAAAAUUGUCCCAUGCGGAGCUAGCGGCCCUCUCCCCAGUAGGAAAAAUACGUGCAGCGCUUUCCAGGUAGCUACUUCGUGAGUUAUCCAUGAGCCUGCAGAGGACAGGGAGUGCCAUAUGGAGGCCGGGGUGGAUUAAGUGUUCCGGCACAUUCCCCUCCCCACCGACUUUUCUUCUCUAAUUCAACAUAGCAAACAAAGCCGGGCUCCAGCUGCCCCAGCUAAGUCCUUCACACCCUCCGCGGGCAGGCCGGGCUGUCAGCACAGACUUCGUUGAAUGACUCGCCCUUGGCUUCUCCGUCCUCUCAGCAGUCCUGGGCAGGCUGCUGUUCAGUGGAAAUCUCCUUUGGAGGAAAUCUCUUCUUGGCCUCUUGGUGGGCAUGCUGGCUUCAUCAAGCCUGCGGGCUAAAUCAGACUGUGCGCCUUCUCUUGGCGUUAAGCCAGCUUUUCAAAACAAGAAACACUGAAUCAGUAGGGAUCUUUCAGCCCCAGUCUUUGUUCCUGAGUGAAAUGGGAACGUGGCCCAGGUUCCCCCAGGGCACUGGGCUGGUCCUUCCUUCCUCCACCAGAGUGGAAACAGAGGAAGGUGGAGAUUGUCUCCUUGUUCGUUGUGGCUCUGAGGUUCCCUCGAGCCACAGAUCUGUGUUCAGACAGUAGCUGUGUGACCCCACUCAAGGCCCUUAGCCCCUCUGAGACUCAGUUUUUUUCUCCAUAAAACGGGGGCAAUAAAGCACCUCCUUAGCCAAGGGGUGUCUGAUAG